rnacentral:rRNA from 1 species
GACGUAGGGCGCGAGCGUUGUCCGGAUUUAUUGGGCGUAAAGAGCUCGUAGGCGGCUUGUUGCGUCGACUGUGAAAACCCGCGGCUCAACCGUGUGGCUUGCAGUCGAUACGGGCAGGCUAGAAUUCGGUAGGGGAGACUGGAAUUCCUGGUGUAGCGGUGAAAUGCGCAGAUAUCAGGAAGAACACCCGUGGCUAAGGCGGCUCUCUAGUACGGUACUGACGCUGAGACGCGAAAGCGUGGGGAGCGAACAGG